UAUAGAGCCAGGAAUUGAAUCAAGAUUGUCCUCGCUGAACUUGAUGCCUCGCCCACAACACCCUGUAGACUUCCCGUGGCCACCUGCGUUGCUGACCUGAAAACCAAGUAACCUGUGUUCCUCAAUUCUCACCAGCACCAGGCUUCCAACUAAAAAUUUCAAGGCAUGCAGAGAAGCAAAAUGAACAAUGACAACAAAAACACAGUCAAAUGGGACAAAGCAAGCCUCAGAACCAGACUCAGAUAUAGCAGAGAUUUUGAAAUUAAAAUAACUCUUAGUUAAUAUACUAAGAGCUCUAAUGGGAAAAAAAAAUGAAUAACCUACAAGAACAGAUGGGUAAGAUCUUUUCUAGGAGCUUCACCAGAGUCUUCUGCUUAUAUUUCUUUGCCCAAGUGGUGUUGUGGGUAUACCUCUUGCUGUAUGGAUAAAGAAGAGAUGAGUUGGAGAUUGGAUCAGCCAACCAACAGCACCUGCUUCAUCUUACUUGGCUGAAAUUCUUUGUUUCUUUACUUUCACAUGGCUGCCUAAUGUUUUCUGAGACUCUUCAGAAGCAUCCAGC